CCGUUUUAAAACCAAAAUUCCCUUAAACGAACUUUGCUGUAUUAACUACGCGCAAGAAAAUCACUGAGCUAAUUUGUAACGGUCUAAUCUUAAGGUCUAUUGAUUAGUCACACAUCUUGCACAGGUAUAUAUGAGGUAAGGAACUAUGGAGUGUAAAGAAUUGGUUGCAUGGGUGCCCUUGACUCCUCAAAAAGUGUGCUUAGAGUCUAUCAGUGGAGUCAAGAACUGUAAAGAUCCUAACUUUACUGAAUCUGUGGAUGUUAAUAGUGAUUUUUGUGAUGGGAAAGUGGUUUCUUCAAAUGGGGUUGAGAUCACACUUGGAGUUGAAAAAGAUGAGAGUAGAUGUACAGAAAAAGAGGGGCAGAGGGUGACUGAACUUGAGGAUUCAGAAAGAAAUCUUUAUUGUGCUGGAAAGUUAAUGGAGCACAUGGAUUCUCCUUCAGUUUCAACUCCGGGUCUGGGUGAGAAGCAAAAUACCAGACCGAGGCACAAUGAUGAUGAGAGCAGACACACAGAUAAAAAGGAGAACCAAGUCGGGAAGUUUGAGGAUGAGGAGAGAAAACUCCAUUGUGCUGAAAAUUUACCAAGAGACAUAGAUUCUCCUUCGGUUUUAACUCCAUGUCCAGCAGAGAAGCAAGACAGCAGGAAGAGGAACAACGAUGGGAUUGACUUGAACAAGAAACCCAAGCAAAGGCCUAAAGUAAAAAAGCAUAGACCUAAAAUAGCUGUUGAUAGGUGGAUGCCGAGGAAAAUUCCAAAAUCUCAAACUCCAAGGAACUCAACCCCAAAAGAUAACAGACCUUCAACCACCAAAAAUGUAAAUUUACGUGGUAAAAGAUAUUUAGGAAAGUUGACUAACAGGAAAGGCUUUACUAGUACUUCAGAAGAUGUCAGGGGAGAUGCAAAUUCUGAAACUUCCGCAGGUGUAGCAAUUUUGUGUAAGCGAUCGCUAAAAUUUGAAUGUGAAGCAGUUGAUAAAUGUGACUGUGUAGUAGAAUCAUGCAGUAGGCCUCAUCAGGAUCAGUUUCAUCUGAGAAGUGUUGAAGGGUUACAAAUGAGCACUGAUUUAGAUAUGUGUUCGGAUUUCAACGUCCAAAGCAAAGAAAGAGGUGAAAAUUGUUCUAGUAGAUUUUUGAAUCAAUAUCAGCGUAGAAUGAGAGGUGUGGACAAGCCCUCGUCGGAAGCGAACACUGGCAUUAAUAUUGGAACCAAAGAGUGCACAAAUUUGUCAUUCAGUACAGAUGAAAGUCAACUGAUGUUUAGUAAUCCACAUGAAUUAGAGAAACAAAGUGUUUUCCAUCACAAUAAUCUUCAUGAUAACAGCAAAGCUGGUUGCCUGCAGUUUUAUAGGAGAACAUUUCGAGUAAACCAGUGUCGGCAGAAUAGUAGAAAAUCUGGACCCAAUUUUCCGAAGAUUUUCAAAAAAUCAAGGACAAUGAGACUGAAGGCAACUACAUUCCUGACAAUGUGGUCAAUCGUAGACGGAGCAAGUGCUGGGGCAAAGAGGAAAGGAGCACAUGGUAGGUGCAAACAAAUUACCAGGAAUUUUUGUUCUCAAAUAAAUUGGAAAGUUAUGCGUAAAGGGGUCAGGUCCAUUAGAAAAUCCAAGUAUCAAAGGCCCUUGAGUGUCCGCCAUGAAUUUCAAAUAGAGAAACCACUUCUGAAUAUGAUCCUGCCCACCAAAGAACAGACUCAGGCAGCACUAGCAGAUCCAGAAUCUUUUAAAUGUGUCUUGGGUUUAAGUCCAAUUGUCAAAUCUAGGGGAAAGAGAUCCAAGGGAUCCACUCGUCAGAUUAUUCGUCAACCCUUAGUUGCAAGUUACAAUUUUGAACAGGUGGUGGUGAAUACACAUGAAGAGAUUGUUGGUGCAAGUUAUGGCAGGAAGGUCUAUGAGCCUCAAACUCUUCAAGAACCUCAACAUGUAGAAAGUGAAAAUCAUCAAUUUUGGAGAAAAAACUUGUCAGAAUUCUGUAAUGAAGAUAGCAUUGCUUGUCAAACUGACAUGGACGGGCGGCAUCCUAUGAAAGACGCACUGACUCAAAUUCUUGAAGAAGUUCAACUUAUGAAAUACGAAAAUCACUUAAAUUGUUCAUUGAAUACGGAAAGUAUUUUUCUGGAUAAUAUAGUGGUUCAUGAAAAUAGAAAGCUCCAGCCAGAUGACAGUCACUUAGAUUGUACAUUGAAUGCACCAUGUUCUUUUCUAAGUGAUGUAGAGGCUCAAGGCAGUGAAAGGCUUCAACCAGAUGAAAAUCACAUAGGUUCUUCAUUGAGUGCACCAAUUUUUAUUCUGGAUGACGUAGAGGCUCAUGGCAAGGGAAGGCUUCGACCAGAAAAUUACUUAGAUUGUUCAUUGAAUAACUGCCUUGACGUUGUUGUCAGUCAAGAUGAAAAUAAUCAACCACGGCAUAAAGCUGUACGGCAUAAAGCUGUACCGCAUAAAGCUGUACGGCAUAAAGCUGUUCGGCCCACUCAAGAAUGUUCCAACUAUGCAUUUGUAAGAGGAUUAAUGGACAUCAUUGUGAGAUUGAAGUAUUUGAACAUCUAUGAUGAAUGUCAUGAACUUGUGGCUCAAGAUCCGAAAUUUCAGGGCGGAACUUUAGUAGAGAUUGUUCCUCCUAAGAAGCGAAAAGUACGUCCAAAGUUGGCCCUUGACUCGGAGACUUUGAGGAUGUUUAAAUUACUGAUGGACAAUGAUAGAUGUGAAUAUUCUGAAGACACUGACAGGGAUAAGAACGAAUGGUGGGCAAAAGAGAGAGAAGUCUUCCGUGGACGGGCCAACUCUUUGAUUGCUCGAAUGCAUCUUAUGCAAGGUGAUAGACGGUUCUCCAAAUGGAAAGGAUCUGUUGUGGAUUCUAUAGUCGGAGUCUUUUUAACUCAGAACGUAGGGGACGUCACAUCCAGCUCUGUCUUCAUACAUUUGGCUGCAAAAUAUCCCGUGAAGCCUAGAAACAAAGAAAUUUUUGAGGAUGUGGGAUCCAUAUUUGAUAAGGAAACAGUUGGAAGUUAUUCAAGAGGAGCAGAUGCUCAAGUUGUUUGUGAUAAAUGUACAGAUGUCAAAGACGAUGGAGGCAUUAAAAGAGUUGAUUGCGAACAACCCUGUUCAUAUGCAUUUCCGGCUAAAGAUCUAAAAGCCUUUGAUAUGGAAAGAAAUAAUAAGCUCACUGGUGAAACUUUUAACUUUAGGAAGUCAUUAGAAUUGGAAAAACUUUGUUUUCUGCAGCAGUUUUAUGGUGCUGAGAAAAAACUAUCAUCUUAUAAUGUGAACAUGGAAUUAAAACCGAGCACCGCGGAAAGAAGUAUGCAGACAUCAGUGAGUACUGCUCUUUUUGAUCUGAAUGCGGAUCCACUAGGAAUAUCCAGAGAAGAAGCACAGAACAAAAGUGAAAGCAAUGAAACCCUGGAGCUUUCAGGAAGUCAGAUCAGAAGUCAUCAAGUUGUUAAUAAUAAAUGUACAGAUGUCAAAAACGAUGGAAACAUAGAAGGAGUUGAGUGCGAACAACCCUGUUUACCUGCAUUCCCAGUUCAAGAUCUAGAAGCCUUGGUGCUUGAUAUGGAUCUGGAAAGGAAUAAAAAUUUUGACACCGGUGAAACUUCUAGUUUUAGAAAGUCAUUAGAAUUGGAAGAACUUGGUUUUCUGCAGCAGUUUUAUGGUGCUGAGAACAAUUUAUUACCAUAUAAUGUGAACAUGGAAUUAAAACCUAGCGCUGCAAAAAGAAGUAUGCAGGCAUCAGUAAGUACUGCUACUCUUGAUGCCAAUGUGAAUCCACUAAGAAUUCCCAGAGAAGAAGCACAGAAUAAAAGUGAAAGUAUUGAAACCCUGGAGCUUUCAGGAAGUCAAAUUACAAGUCAUCAAAAUGUCAGUAAGAAGUCAACACCAAAACAUUAUAGUGGUAAGGGUGAGAAGAAGAAAAAGGCAGGAACCGACUGGGAAGAACUGAGGAAAGCGUAUAGUAAUAAUAAUGAAAGAGGAAAGGAUGAUGACAGCAUGGAUGCUGUUGAUUGGGAGGCAGUCAGAAAGGCUCCACACAAAGAAGUUUCUGACGUUUUAGUUGGAAGAGGAAUGAACAAUGUGAUUGCAGCACGAAUUAAGGACUUCCUAGAACGAGUAGUCAAGGACCAUGGAAAGAUUGACCUUGAAUGGCUAAGAGAUAUACCACCAGAUACUGCAAAGGACUUUUUGCUGAGCAUAGAAGGACUUGGACUCAAAAGUGUGGAGUGUGUGCGACUAUUGACCUUACAUCAUCGCGCUUUUCCUGUUGACACAAAUGUUGCUCGAGUAGCAGUGCGUCUGGGAUGGGUUCCACUGGCACCCCUACCUGAAGAACUGAAGUUGCAUCUACUAGAGUCGUAUCCUUUGCUGGACAAAAUUCAGAUGUAUCUUUUUCCACGGCUAUGCACCCUUGAUCAGAAAACAUUGUAUGAGUUGCAUUAUCAAUUGAUUACAUUUGGAAAGCUUUGUAGGUAUUCUGCACGAAGAAAAAACCAAACUGCAAAGCAUGUCCAUUGAAAGGAGAGUGCAAGCACUAUGCAAGUUCAAUUGCUAGUUCUCGGCUAGCUCUUCCUUGGUUCAAAGAUAAAAAUGUUGUGGCUUCCGACCAGAACCGUUCUAUGUUCAUUACACCACUCCCGGAGUCUCUCUUCGAGGUUAAAAUCUCAGAUGAAGCUGAUCCAAAUCUGUCCAAGAUUAAUAUCUUGGAUUCAGUGUAUCAAACUCAAAAUUGUGAACCAAUAAUUGAAGUUCCAGAAUCUCCUAAACCUGAAUCUGUAGAGCCAGAAGAAUUAAGGGACAUCGAGGAUUACUUUACAGAUGAUGAGAUACCUAUCAUCAGACUUAAUGAACAAGAGCAAAAAAAAAAAUUGCAGAAUAUAAUAGAGACCGAAUACAUGUUUCAAGAAGGGGACAUUGCAGAUGCAUCGACUGCUUUGACUAAAGAAGUUGCUUCAGUUCACCCCCAGAAGUACAAGUUAACUGGAAGGCUGAAAACAGUACACCAAGUCUUGGAGCUCCCUGAUUUUCACCCUCUUCUAGAAAAGUUUGAGGAAAGGGUAAAUGGCGAUCCAUGCCCAUACCUUCUUGCAAUAUGGACAACAACCGAUGUUACUUUAAAAUCCUCCCAACAUCACAGCAGCAGUGGUGGCAGCUCAAGGGAACCACAUGAACCAGGAAUGACCAAUGAGAUUGCAAUAUACCCUUCUAUCAGAAGCAAUGAAGGACAAACAAUUAAAGGAACCAUAUUGAUACCUUGCCGAACAGCAAAUAGAGGAAAAUUUCCACUUAAUGGAACAUAUUUUCAGGUUAAUGAGGUAUUUGCUGAUUUUGAAUCUAGCGAGCGCCCAAUUGACAUUCCAAAAGAAUGGAUAUGCAAUCUGCCAAGACGAAGUCUACAUUGUGGAGGGACCGCAAGUGCAAUAUUUAGAGGUUCAGUUAUGGAGGAGAUUCAAUAUUGCUUUUGGAGAGGAUAUAUUUGUUUGAGAGGAUUUGACAGAAGGAGGAGGAUAACUUGGCCAUUGCAUCCGAGAUUUCAUAUUUCUCCCUCGAUGGCUAAGAAAAUGAGAGAGGAACACGCACGCAGGAAGACAAUGAUUAAUAAAGAUAUUUUGUGAUUUGAAGGACUAGAUUAACAAAGCUUUUAUGUAUGUGUAAAGUUUUCUUAGGCUGCUAUUAGAUCUAUGUAUUUGUUUAAAGUUUAGUCUUAUAUAUGUUCAAUAUUUACUUACAAUUAUAAUAUAUAUUGUUAGAUCUCGGUGACUCUUACUAGUAAUACUGUAUUAUUCGUGGAGCUAUUAUUAUAUCAAAUCAUCAUAAACAUCCUGUA